ensembl:snRNA U6 U6 spliceosomal RNA
UUGCUUGGCAGCAUGUGUCCUAAGACUGGAACAAUACAGAAAAGAUUAAUAUGGCCCCUACACAAGGAUAACAUGCACAUUUUCCCCAUUUUUUU